UACAGAAGCCUCAAGCGUUGUUCGGAAUUACUGGGCGUAAAGGGAAUGUAGGCGGUUUCGUAAGUCAGAUGUGAAAGCCCUGGGCUUAACCCGGGAAGUGCAUUUGAUACUGCGAGGCUCGAGUGCGAGAGAGGAAAGUGGAAUUCCAGGUGUAGGGGUGAAAUCCGUAGAUAUCUGGAGGAAUACCAAUGGCGAAGGCAGCUUUCUGGCUCGUAACUGACGCUGAGAUUCGAAAGCGUGGGUAGCAAGCAGG
rnacentral:rRNA from 1 species